rnacentral:rRNA from 1 species
UACGUAGGGGGCAAGCGUUGUCCGGAUUCAUUGGGCGUAAAGAGCGUGUAGGCGGCCAGGUAGGUCGGUUGUGAAAACUGGAGGCUCAACCUUCAGAGGUCGACCGAAACCAUCUGGCUAGAGUCCGGGAGAGGAGAGUGGAAUUCCUGGUGUAGCGGUGAAAUGCGCAGAUAUCAGGAAGAACGCCCGUGGCGAAAGCGGCUCUCUGGAACGGUACUGACGCUGAGACGCGAAAGCGUGGGGAGCGAACAGG